UGGGGAAUCUUGCACAACGGGGGCAACCCUGAUGCAGCGACGCCGCGUGAGCGAUGAAGCCCUUCGGGGCGUAAAGCUCUUUCGACCGGAACGAUAAUGACGGUACCGGGAGAAGAAGCUGCGGCUAACUACGUGCCAGCAGCCGCGGUAAUACGUAGGCAGCAAGCGUUGUUCGGAGUUACUGGGCGUAAAGAGUGCGUAGGCGGUUUUCUAAGUUCGGUGUGAAAUCUCCCGGCUUAACUGGGAGGGUGCGCCGAAGACUGGGAAGCUGGAGUGUGGGAAAGGCAGGCGGAAUUCCUGGUGUAGCGGUGAAAUGCGUAGAUAUCAGGAGGAACACCGGCGGUGUAGACGGCUUGCUAGACCAUAACUGACGCUGAGGCACGAAAGCGUGGGUAGCAAACA
rnacentral:rRNA from 1 species